GUACGAAGGGGAGCUAGCGUUGCUCGGAAUGACUGGGCGUAAAGCGCGCGUAGGCGGACCUGCAAGUCGGGGGUGAAAGCCCGAGGCUCGAACCUCGGAACUGCCUUCGAUACUGCGGGUCUCGAGUCCGGGAGAGGUGAGUGGAAUUCCUAGUGUAGAGGUGAAAUUCGUAGAUAUUAGGAAGAACACCAGUGGCGAAGGCGGCUCACUGGCCCGGUACUGACGCUGAGGCGCGAAAGCGUGGGGAGCGAAUCCGG
rnacentral:rRNA from 1 species